UACAGAGGGUGCAAGCGUUAAUCGGAAUUAUUGGGCGUAAAGGGUGCGUAGGUGGCUAUUUAAGUUGGAUGUGAAAUGCCUAGGCUUAACCUAGGGAGGUCAUUCAAUACUGAGUAGCUAGAGAGCAGUAGAGGGUGGUGGAAUUUCCGGUGUAGCGGUGAAAUGCGUAGAGAUCGGAAGGAACGCCAGUGGUGAAGACGACCGCCUGGACUGCAACUGACACUGAGGCACGAGAGCGUGGGGAGCGAACAGG
rnacentral:rRNA from 1 species